rfam:Myotis lucifugus cont2.8934, whole genome shotgun sequence.
CUCGGGGUGGGGGUACCUCAGCCUGGAUUGUGAGAGGGUGCAGGCCAGGCCAAAGGACCCCACCAGUGCACA